rnacentral:tRNA from 1 species
ACCUGUUUGGCUCAGUCGGUGGAGCAUGUGACUCUUGAUCUCAGGGUUGUGAGUUCGAGACCCAUGCUGGGUA